UAGUCCCUGGAAGCUCUGGUUGCUUGGCAUUGUUGUACAUAUGGGGUCUCGAGCCCCCCCUUUUUUUUUUUAACUAGCCAAGUGCUCACCAAAUAGGCUAGGUGACUGACCAGAAAUCCCCAGGAUCCUCCCUUUUCUGCUUCCUUUGCUCUGAAAUCAUAAACGCAUGAUGCCCAGCUUGAGUUCUUAGGUGUUUUCUGUGGGAUCAGACUCGGGUCCUUGCCUGACCGAGUCCUACCCCUUGUCCUCUUUUUCUUCUGUUACGUCACAGCCAUUGUCGUCAUCGUCAUCAUCGAUGGGGUCUUGUUGUGUAGGUCUGACUGGUCUUGCACUCACUACGAAGCCCAGCCAGGCUGGUCUUAACCUCCUUUGAGAUUGCUUCAUGCACUACUCACCACUCCGAUCUGAUGACUGCUUUUGCUGAUUUGGUCAGACCGGGACACUGUUAGGAGAAGAAGCAGCUUCUGCUGAGCCUGACCAGACAUCUCCAGGGAGGAUUAACUAAUCAGAAGAUUUGUCCUGAAUGUGAGUGCUAUCAUCCCAGAGCCCAGAUGCUAGGAUAGAAUAAAAUGUCUUAGGGUUCCAUUGCUCUGAAGAGACACCAUGACCAUGCAGCUCUUGUGAAGGCAGGCAUUUCAUUGAGGCUGGCUUACGGUUUCAGAGGUUCAGUCCAUUAUUGUCAGGAUGAGAAGCAUGGCAGUGUGCAGACAGACAUGGUGUUGGAGAAGGAGCUGAGAGUUCUGCAUCUUGAUUCAAGGGCAAGCUGGAGAGACUGGCACCCUCAGGCAGUUAGGAGGAAGCCCUCUUUCCCAAUGGGUGGAGCCUGAGCAUAGGAGGAGGCUUCCAAAGCCCACACCCACACACUUUCUCCCACAAGGCCACACCUCUUAAAAGUACUGUGAGCCAAACCACCCCACCAUCUACCAUAGGUAUUUUCUAUGGUAGCCAUCCUGACAUGAACCAUUCACCUGGGCCACACCGCCCCCUCCCCCAUCACAACCCCAACCCCUCCCUUCAGGAAUGAAAUGUUGAAACUGUAAACUCAAAUGAGUCCUUUCUCUCUACUUUCUAUCCAGUAGUUUGCCCCAGCAAGCUGACUUGCUCAGAUGUCUAAAGGUUCCUGAGCAGAAUGGGUCUCGGCCUCUGAGAAAAGGUUCAAAGCAAAGGAUAGCAUAUAAAGUACAACAGCCCGAGUCACUAAGAGGCCGCGUCCUUUGGAAAGAUGGAGAAGACAGAGGAGGAGCAAAUGAAAAGGAGUAGAGAAGGCGCUUUACGACCAGGGGCUGGGUAUGCGCCCACCGCCACUAGCGCCAUCUAGCUGUGAACUGACAAACCAGCUUCCAAAGCGAGAAUCACAGGGAUUUCACUCUUGUGAGUCAGGAGGACAGAUCAUUACACUUUCUUAAAAA